ACGGAGGAUGCAAGCGUUAUCCGGAAUGAUUGGGCGUAAAGGGUCCGCAGGUGGCAGUGUAAGUCUGCUGUCAAAGAAUGAGGCUUAACCUCAUCAAGGCAGUGGAAACUACACAGCUAGAGUACGGUCGGGGUAGAAGGAAUUCCUGGUGUAGCGGUGAAAUGCGUAGAGAUCAGGAAGAACACCGGUGGCGAAAGCGUUCUGCUAGACCUGUACUGACACUGAGGGACGAAAGCUAGGGGAGCGAAUGGGA
rnacentral:rRNA from 1 species